rnacentral:rRNA from 1 species
UACGGGGGGGGCAAGCGUUGUUCGGAAUUACUGGGCGUGAAGGGCUCGUAGGUGGCCAACUAAGUCAGACGUGAAAUCCCUCAGCUUAACUGGGGAACUGCGUCUGAUACUGGAUGGCUUGAGUUUGGGAGAGGGAUGCGGAAUUCCAGGUGUAGCGGUGAAAUGCGUAGAUAUCUGGAGGAACACCGGUGGCGAAGGCGGCAUCCUGGACCAAUACUGACACUGAGGAGCGAAAGCCAGGGGAGCAAACGGG